rnacentral:rRNA from 1 species
UACGAAGGGGCUAGCGUUGCUCGGAAUUACUGGGCGUAAAGCGCGCGUAGGUGGUUCGUUAAGUUAGGAGUGAAAGCCCCGGGCUCAACCUGGGAAUUGCUUCUAAAACUGGCGAGCUAGAGUAUGGUAGAGGGUGGUGGAAUUUCCUGUGUAGCGGUGAAAUGCGCAGAUAUCUGGAGGAACACCAGUGGCGAAGGCGGCCUCCUGGACCAUUCCUGACACUCAGACGCGAAAGCUAGGGUAGCAAACGGGAUUAGAUACCUCCGUAGUCCCUGA